GAUUUUUAGAGCAAAUGUUUUUUCGCCUUUCUUUUCUUCUAUUCUGCCUUUUGCGGAACCAAGCUGAGACUUGCUGCUUCAAUGAUUGCUAAAAUGUAGCGUCACCUACCUGGGUAAGUGGGAAAUAAACUUUAAUGGUAAA